rnacentral:rRNA from 1 species
CCUGGCGGCCGUCCGUAGCGCGGUGGUCCCACCUGACCCCAUGCCGAACUCAGAAGUGAAACGCCGUAGCGCCGAUGGUAGUGUGGGGUCUCCCCAUGCGAGAGUAGGGAACUGCCAGGC